ensembl:lncRNA
CUGCAAUCCACUAUCUGCAUUGUCCUUCUGAGUUUGUUUCCCAGAAUGUGUGGCUACAACAUUUUGUGCACUGGCCAGAAAACUCCUCACUUUGAGGAGACAACUCCCAUUUGGGAGUACUCCAAGGCCUUGCAACUCAAAUCUUCUAGAAGGGGGAUGGUGCCUCACCCUUCUGGAAGGAUUCUGCUUCUCAAUGCCCGGACCUUUCAUGUUAGCAGGUAGUGGACGGCAGCAUGGGAACUGAGCGCUCAGCAGUUAAAGUUGCAGGUGUCACUCCCUGGAUCCACCAUGUGAGGGUGUAGAGAGCAUACCACACAGACCUGGAGGAUGCCAAGUGGACUACAAAAAAGGACCCCACUGAUCCCUGUGAAACCAAGAUCAUCUUAAAGAAGAAAAAGAGAUGAAGCCCUACAAUCAACUGCUGCUACAAGGACUUUCCAGUAUCAUCUUGAGACUAAACAUACUUUCAGCACAAGGAGAAGAGAUUGGGAUACAGACAUGCACAAAGAAGGGGCUAUGUGAAGACCCAUGAGAAGGUAACCAUCUACAAAUCAAGGAGAGAGGCCUCAGACUGAAACCAAUCCUGCCAACACCUUGAUCUGGGAUUUACAGGAUGAAGAACUGAGGAAAUAAAUCUCUUUCAUUAAAGCUGCUCAGCUCAUGGUACUUUGUUAUAAAAGCCCAAGUAGACUCAUACAGA